rnacentral:lncRNA from 1 species
AUGGCGGAAGCAGUGAAGUCAGAGAAAUCUGUGCAAAAGAUCCCGAUUCCUCUGGGGUACGAACUUGCAUGGUGCAGGGGACGAAUGUUUUUAAGUGACACAGGAAGCCAUUCGAUGCUGUCCUCAAGCCCCAGGGAUUUUACGGAGGGUUCGGCAGCUUCUUUGGUGACCGGCUACACCGUUUGGCAGCGAGUUCAAGGGCUCACAACUGUACAGAGCAAGGAGCCUGCUGAACAGUGAGGUUCCAGUUUAGAAAGAGUGCUGCAAACAAAGAGGAGUGAAAAAAAAAAACCAACACAAUUUACACAGCCCACUGUGAACAUAAUGGUUCAAGGCAGAAGACGUCCUUAACUGAAUCAAUUAAUCAUAUUUAUUUUUCCCUGGUAAGUCUUUGUUUUUUAUUGAGAAAGUUCAUUUAUGGACCAAAUAUUGAAAUUAGUGUUGAUGUAUUUUACAUCAAUCAUUUCAUGAUUAAAAGAGCUUCUGGUGAAAUAGGUCAGUUGAAUGGACAUCCUAGCCUAGCUUUGAACCAAAUCAUACAGUUGCUAGCGUUAUUCUUUGGUGGUCUCUUUCUUCUUUCAUGAAUUACCUCUCUUACUAGUAGGCAGCAUGGUGUAGUAAAAACACUUGAGACCUGAGAAUGCAAUCCAGUUUCCCAUAUGCAAGUUGUCCAUUGGGUUGUCCCAUAUGCAGGUUGUCCAGUUGCUGAACUCUAUUUCCUCAUAUUCAAGAUGAAAAUUAUCAGCCCUACUUCAUGGAGUGGAAAUGAGCAUUAAAUGACACAGUGUCACAAUAUACAGGAAGCGAAGGAAAUGUUUCCUCCCUCUUCCUCUCAAAGUCUCUCCUGUCACAAAUACAGCAGAGAACUUCAAUUUUAAGAUGCUCUUGUCUUGUUAAGGAGUAUAUGAGUUUUGAAAUAGCCUGUGUAAUUUUAAAUAACACCGAAUGUGUGAGAGGGAGACACUUGAAAGCACAAAGAACACUCUAAGUUCUCUUAAUUAACAUUAUGGAGGUGAACAUGCUCAUCAUGUACUGAUUCGGGCCAGUUUGGCUCAUGUGAUUAUACAAAUUAUCAGCUAACUGGCCAAGGAUGUUUGGUCUGAUGGCUUUGAUCUAAUGAGCAUUUAGGUGAUAUUUAAAAAUGGUGACAUAUAAUGAAGUAUCUUUCAGCCUUAGAAAGGGAUGAAAUUCUGACACUUGCUACAAGGAUGAACCUUGAAAAUGUUGUGCUAGGUGAAAUGUCAGAUACAAAAGGGCAAAGUGUGGGAUGACUCACUUAUCUAAGGCAUCUGGAAGAGUCAAAUUCAUAGGGCAGAGAGUAGAAUAGUGGUUUCCAGGGGCUUCAGGAAGGGGAAAUGAGGAGUUAUUGUUUAAUGGGCCUAGUUAAACUCGAGGCCCAGUUUGUGAUGAUGAAUUUCCAGUGAUAGACAGUGGUGAAGGUUGUGUAAUAAUGUGAAUGGACUUAAUGCUGCUAGCUGAACUACACACUUAAAAAUGGUUAAAAUCUUAUAUUUUAUAUCAUGUAUAUAUGUCAUAAUAACAAGAGCAGACUGCUAAAUACAAAAUAAAUGAUAUAAUAUGAACAGUGGAAAGUGUAAAGAUUGCAGAGCUUGUGAAGACAAGCCACAGACUGGGAGAAAAUCUUUGCAAAAGACAUAUCUGAUAGAGGACUGUUAUGCAGAAUAUACAAAGAAUCCUUAAAACUCAACGGUAGAAAGUGAACAACUUGAUUUAAAAAAUGGAUGCCUGAACAAGUAUCUUGCUAAAGAAGAUAAACAGAUAGCAAAUAGCCUUUAAGAUCUGCUCCAUAUCACAUGUUAAGAGGGACAUGCAAAUUAGAACAAAAAUGAAAUAUCACUAUACACCUAUUCAGUCAGUUCAGUUCACUCAGUCGUGUCUGACUCUUUGCGACCCCAU